UGUACGCUGGCGGCAGGCCUAUACAUGCAAGUCGAGCGGAUGAAGGGAGCUUGCUCCUGGAUUCAGCGGCGGACGGGUGAGUAAUGCCUAGGAAUCUGCCUGGUAGUGGGGGAUAACGUCCGGAAACGGGCGCUAAUACCGCAUACGUCCUGAGGGAGAAAGUGGGGGAUCUUCGACCUCCGCUAUCAUGACCUAGUCAUAC
rnacentral:rRNA from 1 species